rnacentral:rRNA from 1 species
AUUGAACGCUGGCGGCAGGCCUUACACAUGCAAGUCGAGCGGGGUGGCGGACGGGUGAGUAAUGCCUAGGAAUCUGCCUAGUAGUGGGGGAUAACGUCCGGAAACGGGCGCUAAUACCGCAUACUAUCGGAUGGGCCUAGGUCGGAUUAGCUAGUUGGUGGGGUAAAGGCCUACCAAGGCGACGAUCCGUAACUGGUCUGAGAGGAGGAUCAGCCACACUGGAACUGAGACACGGGCCAGACUCCUACGGGAGGCAGCAGUGGGGAAUUUUGGACAAUGGGCGAAAGCCUGAUCCAGCCAUGCCGCGUGUGGGAAGAAGGUCUUCGGAUUGUAAAGCACUUUAAGUUGGAAAGCGUUACCAGCAGAAUAAGCACCGGCUAACUUCGUGCCAGCAGCCGCGGUAAUAC